rnacentral:miRNA from 3 species
GCACUGGGUGAAGUUUGUCUUA